rnacentral:rRNA from 1 species
UGGGGAAUCUUCCGCAAUGGACGAAAGUCUGACGGAGCAACGCCGCGUGAGUGAAGACGGCCUUCGGGUUGUAAAGCUCUGUUAUCCGGGAAGAACGAUUCGUUUUUGAACAAUGAACGGAAGUGACGGUACCGAAAGAGAAAGCCACGGCUAACUACGUGCCAGCAGCCGCGGUAAUACGUAGGUGGCAAGCGUUGUCCGGAAUUAUGGGGCGUAAAGAGCGCGUAGGCGGUAUGGUAAGUCUGUCUUAGAAGUGCGGGGCUUAACCCCGUGAGGGGACAGAGACUGUCAUACUGGAGUCUCGGAGAGGAAAGCGGAAUUCCUAGUGUAGCGGUGAAAUGCGUAGAGAUUAGGAAGAACACCGGUGGCGAAGGCGGCUUUCUGGACGAGCACUGACGCUGAGGCGCGAAAGCGUGGGGAGCGAACAGG